ACCUGGCUGGCUCAGUUGGUAGAACAUGUGACUGUUGAACGCGGGGCCGUGGGUUCAAGCCCCACGUUGGGUG
rfam:Felis catus isolate Cinnamon breed Abyssinian chromosome A1, whole genome shotgun sequence.